GUUGUAGAAAAAUUUAUAUUUUACUCUUUCUUAUUUACUUUCUUAGACAUUGGAUAAUAAAGCCCAGGGGGUUAGAAGGACCAUUGUUUUUUCUGAAAACAGCUAGGUUUGGUUUACGGGGUUAAGUGGAAAUUUACAGAGAAGGAACCUUGUAAGAAGUGGGGGGGUGAUAGCAGUAUAAGAAGGCUGUCUGUUUUCAGUGUGAUUUUAGGUCUGUUGUGUUUCAGGGUAGCUGCUGGAACAUUGUGAACACACCUCUUUAAGGAAAAUAAAUUUCUUUCCUUAAAUAUAA